rnacentral:lncRNA from 10 species
UUCCACUUCGAGAUAAAAUUGAUGGGACCAAUUCUUGAAACUUUAGGUGAUUGAGGAGUGAAUUGGUCUAGCGUUUGGUCCCUCCCUGGGUGUGACCUCUUGACAACAUUAUAUAGGAGGCUUGGAACAUACUACUUGCAUGCCACUUCAAAGCCUACAUUAAGGAUUUUAAAACCAUCUUUUUUAUUUUUAUUUUUUAUUUUAUUUUAUUUUUUU